rnacentral:piRNA from 1 species
ACCCUGAUUGGUGAAAGGAACACAGAAA